UCGGGCGGUGAAUUCCGUCCAAGGCUAAAUACGGGCGAGAGACCGAUAGUGAACAAGUACCGCAAGGGAAAGAUGAAAAGGAAUUUGAAAAGAGAGCCAAAGAGUGCUUGAAAUUAUCGGGAGGGAAGCGGAUGGGGGCUGGCGAUGCGCCCCGGACGGAUGUGGAACGGUGUUGAGCCGGUCCGCCGAUCGACUCGGGGCGUGGACAAGCGUGGAUUG
rnacentral:ncRNA from 1 species